GGUUCCAUAACUCAGUUGGUUAGAGUGUGGUGCUAAUACGACUUCAAAACUCGGAAACGCCAAAGUCGAGGGUUCGACCCCCUCUGGGACCA
rnacentral:tRNA from 2 species